UGGUAAUCAAACUUCAUCUGAGAUCCAUCUGACUAUAGAAGGUGGAGUUGAUCAUCUUCCAUUGGGUGCAGUUCUUGGAGGAAUCAUUGGGAUCAUCGUGCUCAUCGGCCUGGUUUUUGUUUGGUCAGUAGCAUCAGUAAAGAAUGUGUCUCCAAUGACAUGUGGUCUUUUUUUGGUAUUCUGUGUAUUAGACCCAACAUUUUGUCUUGCAGGCGUUUUAAGUCUCCACAUCCAACUGCACAUCAGAGUCAGAAUCAGCCUGUUGGAGAGACAGUGACAACAGAAGAAGAAGGCGUCCACUAUGGAGAGAUUAACUUCUCGAGGCUCAGAUCUGGACCGUCCUCGGUCUCGGAGCAGGACGGUGGACAGCAGGAGGACACGCUGUAUGCGCAGGUCAAAGUGUCCAAGGCAGCAGACAACGUCACACGGACUGCUGACGUCCCAGAGGAUCUCUACGCUCAAGUGAAGAGAAAAUGAGCCGUUUCUUGUCGUCACAUUUGGGUUUUAUUUUUAAGAUGCUUUUUACAUAAAUAACUAGCUUCAUCUGUCAGUUUUUGGAGACAAAUAAUUUUAAGAAAAUGUAAUCUUCACUGCUCACAGUUAAAGGGGAACUUCAAACCUCCACAUCCUGCAGCACCCUGCAAUUUUAUACAUUGUUGACAUAUUGAGGUAUUCACAAUUAGUAUAAAUAAUAGUCCCACUGCUCUAAAUAGAGUAAUUAUGUAUUCUCAAAGAAAGCCCUGUUAAUAUAUCAGCUUAUGAUUUUUUCUUUGUUGCAUAUUUUAAAAGGUGUCUUCAAAACUCAUUUAGUUAUCUUUUGGAUUAAUGUUUUAUUGUUCUAUUUCGUCUUCUUCAAAAGACAAUUUACUGAAUUUCAAGAUAUGUAUUAAUUGCAACGUAAUAAAAAACCUAUACACGACUUAA